rnacentral:lncRNA from 1 species
UAACAUACGACUCACUAUAAGAUAUCUCCUUUGUUUUUCUUUGUAAGCCAAACUUAGUUGUAAUGACCACAUUGUGGAAGAUGUUUUUCAAAUUAUUGGUUUAAGUCAUUGCUAUUAUAGGUUCUUUGGCUGGUAACUCUCAAAGCGUACGAACUCAACAAUUACCACCUUGUUGUCCACCUUUUGGAGUUUGUGACCCAAUUAUUUGUCCUAGAACUCCAUGUUGUCGUCCAUGUUGUUGCCCUCCAGUUUGUGAUUUCCGACCCUAAAACUUCAAAGCUAUUACAUUAUAUAUUUACACAAAUCACAAUGUAUUAAAUAAAACUCAAUCUCAUAUAUGUAAUAAUUGCAUCAAUAAGAAUGAAUAAAAGAAUUAUAUGUUCUUG